rnacentral:rRNA from 1 species
GACGAACGCUGGCGGCGUGCUUAACACAUGCAAGUCGAACGGAAAGGCCCUGCUUUUGUGGGGUGCUCGAGUGGCGAACGGGUGAGUAACACGUGAGUAACCUGCCCUUGACUUUGGGAUAACUUCAGGAAACUGGGGCUAAUACCGGAUAGGAGCUCCUGCUGCAUGGUGGGGGUUGGAAAGUUUCGGCGGUUGGGGAUGGACUCGCGGCUUAUCAGCUUGUUGGUGGGGUAGUGGCUUACCAAGGCUUUGACGGGUAGCCGGCCUGAGAGGGUGACCGGCCACAUUGGGACUGAGAUACGGCCCAGACUCCUACGGGAGGCAGCAGUGGGGAAUAUUGCACAAUGGGCGGAAGCCUGAUGCAGCAACGCCGCGUGCGGGAUGACGGCCUUCGGGUUGUAAACCGCUUUCGCCUGUGACGAAGCGUGAGUGACGGUAAUGGGUAAAGAAGCACCGGCUAACUACGUGCCAGCAGCCGCGGUGAUACGUAGGGUGCGAGCGUUGUCCGGAUUUAUUGGGCGUAAAGGGCUCGUAGGUGGUUGAUCGCGUCGGAAGUGUAAUCUUGGGGCUUAACCCUGAGCGUGCUUUCGAUACGGGUUGACUUGAGGAAGGUAGGGGAGAAUGGAAUUCCUGGUGGAGCGGUGGAAUGCGCAGAUAUCAGGAGGAACACCAGUGGCGAAGGCGGUUCUCUGGGCCUUUCCUGACGCUGAGGAGCGAAAGCGUGGGGAGCGAACAGGCUUAGAUACCCUGGUAGUCCACGCUGUAAACGGUGGGUACUAGGUGUGGGGUCCAUUCCACGGGUUCCGUGCCGUAGCUAACGCUUUAAGUACCCCGCCUGGGGAGUACGGCCGCAAGGCUAAAACUCAAAGGAAUUGACGGGGCCCCGCACAAGCGGCGGAGCAUGCGGAUUAAUUCGAUGCAACGCGUAGAACCUUACCUGGGUUUGACAUGGAUCGGGAGUGCUCAGAGAUGGGUGUGCCUCUUUUGGGGUCGGUUCACAGGUGGUGCAUGCCUGUCGUCAGCUCGUGUCGUGAAAUGUUGGGUUAAGUCCCGCAACGAGCGCAACCCUUGUUCACUGUUGCCAGCACGUUAUGGUGGGGACUCAGUGGAGACCGCCGGGGUCAACUCGGAGGAAGGUGGGGAUGACGUCAAGUCCUCAUGCCCCUUAUGUCCAGGGCUUCACGCAUGCUACAAUGGCUGGUACAGAGAGUGGCGAGCCUGUGAGGGUGAGCGAAUCUCGGAAAGCCGGUCUCAGUUCGGAUUGGGGUCUGCAACUCGACCUCAUGAAGUCGGAGUCGCUAGUAAUCGCAGAUCAGCAACGCUGCGGUGAAUACGUUCCCGGGGCU